rnacentral:rRNA from 1 species
AGAGUUUGAUCAUGGCUCAGAUUGAACGCUGGCGGCAUGCCUUACACAUGCAAGUCGAACGGCAGCACGGGAGCAAUCCUGGUGGCGAGUGGCGAACGGGUGAGUAAUACAUCGGAACGUGCCCUGUCGUGGGGGAUAACUAGUCGAAAGAUUAGCUAAUACCGCAUACGACCUGAGGGUGAAAGCGGGGGACCGUAAGGCCUCGCGCGAUAGGAGCGGCCGAUGUCUGAUUAGCUAGUUGGUGAGGUAAGAGCUCACCAAGGCGACGAUCAGUAGCUGGUCUGAGAGGACGAUCAGCCACACUGGGACUGAGACACGGCCCAGACUCCUACGGGAGGCAGCAGUGGGGAAUUUUGGACAAUGGGGGCAACCCUGAUCCAGCAAUGCCGCGUGUGUGAAGAAGGCCUUCGGGUUGUAAAGCACUUUUGUCCGGAAAGAAAUCCCCUGGGAUAAUACCUCGGGGGGAUGACGGUACCGGAAGAAUAAGCACCGGCUAACUACGUGCCAGCAGCCGCGGUAAUACGUAGGGUGCGAGCGUUAAUCGGAAUUACUGGGCGUAAAGCGUGCGCAGGCGGUUUUGUAAGACAGGCGUGAAAUCCCCGAGCUCAACUUGGGAAUGGCGCUUGUGACUGCAAGGCUAGAGUAUGUCAGAGGGGGGUAGAAUUCCACGUGUAGCAGUGAAAUGCGUAGAGAUGUGGAGGAAUACCGAUGGCGAAGGCAGCCCCCUGGGACGUCACUGACGCUCAUGCACGAAAGCGUGGGGAGCAAACAGGAUUAGAUACCCCGGUA